UGGGGAUGCCUUUGAUACAAUAUNUUCCC
rnacentral:piRNA from 1 species